AUGUUUACCUUCUGCUUCCCUCAUCCCUCCAGCAGGGGACGCUGUUCCAUGCAAACAGAGUUGGACGUAACCACUAAAGCCGCACCCAGUUCUACCCUGACAUCCCGUGUGGGGAAGCAUCCCGCUUACGGUUACCCGCAGAACUAGCGUCAGAGCUGAACCGGGACCCUCGCCUUGUGACUCCAGGCCCGGUCCCUCACCUGCCCGGCCUGUGCAAAAGUCACGUCGAUGUUGGACGAUGACUCUGGACUAUCGGAAACAUAAUCGCGCAGGUCCACCACACUGAUGACAUUAUGCACAUUGGAUCCGAGGAGCAGGAAACGGCAGGAAUUCUCCAGUCACAAGAAGAAUCAGGCUGUAGCAUGAAGUGGCAUCAACAAAGUAUCUAUGUCUUACUAUAUGAGUCAGGACAGAUUAAGCUAUGCUUCAGCAACAAACAACCUCUACAACUGUAGUGGCUUACGGACAACAUUUCUCUCGGUGUAAGGAACUCUCCAGAGCGUCUGUCCUUCACGAAGUGAUCCAGCGAUCCAGGCUGCCGUGGCUUCCCAUCUCAGCGUGAGGCCCCCACAUUGACCGUUGUGAGGAGAAAACAGACUCCAGAAUCACUCAGAGGCUUUGCCCUCCCCCAGUCCAGAAGGGAUGCUUAGCAUUUCUUCUAUAUUUCUUGGGCCAGAACACGGACCCACUGAACUUCAAGUUGACUGAAAAGUGUUGCCUCCCAGAAGAAAAGGAGACCGGACGUCAGAACCUCUAGUAGGGUCUCCAUGCUCAACUUGGUCCUCCCUCUUCUGGAAGCUUCCAUUCGGUCAUCUGUGGACUGCCAUUGGGAUUCUGGAGCACCCCAAGGAAAAGACACUGGUCCUCUGUGAAUAAUCAAUAGCUUCUUUGUUAGGGUCGGUUUAUAGUCUCUGCAGGACAUAAGACUCACUGAAAUGGCCCAGUCUUUCUUAAAAUGGACUUUUCCAGCUUUACUGAUGUGUAAUUGGCGAACAAAAAUGGCAUGUGUUUAAGGUACACCACAGGAUGCUGGGAUGGACGCAUACAUUGUGAAAUGAUCACCACAGCCGUCACCUCACAGAGUUACAGUUAUCUUUUUGUUGGGGGGUCGGAGGGCGGUGAGCACGUUUGAGAUCUGCUCUCUCAGCAAAUUUCAAGUGCCCAAUACAGUGUCAUUAACUCUA